rnacentral:misc_RNA from 1 species
CCCGACGGUGUUAAACGACGUUAAGCCUGAACGUAAAGCUUCACGACGUUGUAAAACGACGUUAUGCAUGAACGUAAUGCUCAUAAUUUCCCUCUAGACUUAGCUGCUAUUGAAGCUCCAUCUACAAAGGGCUAAGACUUUGCUUUGAUUGUCUAGUAUUUUUGAACUCAAAAAGGAAGAAGAACGCCCUCUUGUUCUAUCAAGAGGGCGUUCGAGUAGAGGGGCGGAUGUAGCCAGUGGAUUAAGGCAUUGGAUUGUGAAUCCACCAUGCGCGCCUGUGUGAAAAUGUUAUCCA